rnacentral:lncRNA from 1 species
AGUGAUAUAUAGCAACGCAGAGGAGGCCCAUGAAUCUAGCUUGGAGCUCCACGUUAGCAGCAGACCGUGAUGGAAGGGCCCAGCAGUAGGAUGUAGAUACACAACCCUAGGAAGAUACUUUUACAUUGAUUGGGGGGGCUGGAACGUUAGUGUAGAGGGUGAUAUUUCUUUGGAAAAUAUGGAGCGUGAUGGGCAUAGGUUGAAGAAAAGUAGUUUCCAG